GCUCUGUUUGUAGCUCUUCAAAACUAAAAUUGUUGCCAUUGUGCCAUGGAAUGGUGUAGUCAUUGUUGCAGGUUUUGUCAAACCAGAGUUGAAGGCAUCGCUGAUGAUUUUCCCUGCAAAUUUUUCUGCACUUGUACUUUGUGUGGGAAGGUUCUGUUUGACUGGAGUAUGCCAUUCAAACAUGUAUUUUCAUAUAGGAGGAGGAAAAAAUGUUUUAGAAGAAUGAAGAGACUGAUGAAGACAAAGCGUUAUGCAAAAGCUAAGAAAAGGGACAAAUCUUCCUAUUAUUAUAAAGGAUCAUGAGAUACAGCUUCUAAGGGUCCUAUUAUGAAGGAAGAGAUGCAAGCUGUAAAUUCUGACACAACUAAGACUUCUGAUAACUAUUGAAGAGGCUGAUAACUAUUGAAGAGGCUUAGUCCUGUGUUGCAUAGUAUCAGUAUGCUUCAGAUUGAAUAGCUUGCUAAUUUGACAUUAAAUAGAGUAGAGUGAUUGUUGGAUGUCUUAGGAUUUAUGUUAGUUUUUCUUUGCUUAGGGACAUCCAUGUGGCUAUGUUCCUGGUAUCAAAGGUUGAAAAAUGUAAAGAUUGCAUGA